rnacentral:rRNA from 1 species
AUUGAACGCUAGCGGGAUGCUUUACACAUGCAAGUCGAGCGAGCGGCGGACGGGUGAGUAAUGUAUGGGGACUGCCCGAUAGAGGGGGAUAACUACUGGAAACGGUAGCUAAUACCGCAUACUAUCGGAUAACCCAUAUGGGAUUAGCUAGUAGGUGAGGUAAUGGCUCACCUAGGCGACGAUACCUAGCUGGUCUGAGAGGAUGAUCAGCCCCACUGGGAUUGAGCAACGGCCCAGACUCCCACGGAGUCAGCAGUGGGGAAUAUUGCACAAUGGGCGCAAGCCUGAUGCAGCCAUGCCGAGUGUAUUAAGAAGGCCCUAGGGUUGUAAAGUACUUUCAGUCGGGAGGCGUGACCGACAGAAGAAGCACCGGCUAACUCCGUGCCAGCAGCCGCGGUAAUAC